GUUGAGUCAAGUUAAAAUUAGAAAUAUAACAAAAGUUCAGAACACAGCUCAGAACAUUUUUAGUGUAUAUGUCCAGAACCCAGAUAACCAAUUUUUGGUGGUUAAAACUCAAUACAAAAUUUGAACUUGUUGCCACCCAAAUGGAGUUUAAAAUGAGCUUUUUUUCUAAUAUAAGCUUAGUUCACCUAUCAAACCACAUAUACCUCAGAACAGCAGGUCUAAUUUGUAUCAGUCAGUUUUUGAGAUUGGAGCUUUGAAAUAUUUGCUAAUAAUUUCCUGACUGUCUUCAUUUUUCUUUCCCUGAAGAUCCUCUGUGAGUUCUAAGACCCUGCAUUUUACCACAGGGGCAUCUGCUGGUUAAUUCAGCAGUUGGGUAACCACAGGACUCUGGUCCAACUCAGCCAACAAACCACAUGGCACAUUUCAACCCCGGCCUGUUGUAAUCGUGGGGACUAUUUUGGUUUCUUUCCCCUUCCAAGAGCUUGAGGAGAAUCACAAACAGGAACACCAGACAAUUCCAAUAAAAGGAACCAGGGGACACACAUCACUGCUUCCAUCCUCCUUUCAAACUAGUCAUCUGUGUCUUUAUUCUGUGUGCUCUGUAAUCCUUCCUAAUGAACUUUUCCAAAUGUCAUGCAGAAGGGCAAGGAAAAGAAUGAUGGUGGGAGAAAACACAUCUGGUUUGUCCCCCAAAGGCCGCUGUUCAAGAGGAGCUUGAAAAGAUCAAGGUGCACCAUGUCAUAAAUUAAAGGAGCUGUAGCUAAGUUACUAGGAUAGAAGCCUUGGAUACCACUGUGGAUAUUGGGGACAUAUUGGUGGUACAGCCAAUCUUACCUUUAGGAUUACCUUGGAUUAUCCUCCAAGUCAGGCAGCAGAGACUGAAGUUUCUGGUGCAACAGCAAGUACCAGCCUGGUUAAGCACAGAAGGAUGUUUGAAUGCAGUCUUAUUUUAUAUGUGGUCAACUUUCCAGUGAACUAUUUUGGUUGUGACUUUUGCUUCCCUAUACAACUGCAGGAACUCGGAUAAUGAACAAUUAGAAAUAUGUAUCAGUAGAUAAGACCUUUUUAAGCAUUUGGGCAGUGGGGAAACUGAAACACAGGAGUGGUGAGUCAGGGAAGAAUUCCUAUAGGCUAGAGUUUAGCUUUCUUUUCAAAGGGAGUAAAAAGAAGGAACCAACCUUACCAUGAAAUGCAGGGAAUAUUAAAAGGAAGAGAAAACCAAGCAUAUAAACUUGUGCGGAAUUCUAUACGGAACAGAGAGGGCUUCUUUGACCUGUAGACUCUGAAGAAGUAAUCCCUCCUCCGUAGAAUUAACCAUCUGCAACAUCUAACAUACAGUAUUGUGUAUUUUUUUUAAACAUUUGUUUAUUUUUGAGAGGGAGAGAGACAGA